GGAUUAGAUACCCUGGUAGUCCACACCGUAAACGCUGUCUACUAGCUGUCUGUGUAUUUAAUACGUGGGUAGCGUAGCUAACGCGCUAAGUAGACCGCCUGGGGAGUACGGCCGCAAGGUUAAAACUCAAAUGAAUUGACGGGGGCCCGCACAAGCGGUGGAGCAUGUGGUUUAAUUCGAUGCAACGCGAAGAACCUUACCAGGACUUGACAUCCUACUAGUUACCAGAGAUGGUUUCGUGCCUUCGGGAAAGUAGUGACAGGUGCUGCAUGGCUGUCGUCAGCUCGUGCUG
rnacentral:rRNA from 1 species